ACCCCUCUCUAAGCCUCAUUUAAGUGCUGGCUGCCACGGGGGAAGGCUCUGUACCUUUUGGAGUGUUCUGUGAGUCCCGCUCCUUGGGACAGGUAUAGUCUGUGUGACUGGUCUGAGAUGGGCAAAUCAAGCUAUCCAUAGUACUGCUGGUCUGGAGGAGAAUUCAGAGCCGCUGCUGGGGUCACUGGAGGGAUGCCCAGAGUAAAAGACCUCCGAAUCUGCUCUCAACCAAGGGGAAGUGAAUUGGUCUCCUUGUUCCUGUGGCAGCCAUGGACCCCUAUGAUUGGGUGGUCCUCUAGAGGCACUGACACUGAGCCUGAAGGGAAGCUCCCAUCUCUGAUCCAUGAGUGCCUCCAGCCUGGCAGGACCUGGCUCUUCUGCUUCAGCCUGUGGAGUGAAUACAUAUGAACAAAUAUCUGAACCACUCUGUGAGGAUGAUGGACUACAAACUGGCUUGCACCAGUGAUGGAGCAGCUGGUGGGAAGGCAGGGCCAACCCAGAGGAGCUCAGGUGUAAGCAAUGCAUCUGAGUGACUGGAAGGGCUGGAGCCAGGAUCCACCCUUUCCCAGCCCUCAUUUAAGGGUUGGCAGUGGAGGCAAGUGUAUCUCACUGGUGAUUCCUGCAUACCUAAGGCUUUCUGAAGCACAGAAACACAACCAGAGUCCAGUUCCUCAGACUUACAGAAUCACAGCUGAGGAAGUUUCCAGGUGUGUUCUCCAUAUCAUUCCUAGUACUACUCUUCUCACCUAAGGCAGAGCUAUGAUCAUAUAACAGAUCUCUCUGAAACCUUUGCUGGUGCUUCAGGAGAUGAGCACUCUGCUGUGUUCCACUGAAAUAGCUCAACCACAGUGUAUUUAAGUGAGCUGACACAUCCUGAAGCAGAGCAAGUUGCCCUCGUGCUGCUGAAGUCAGUGAAGCUUCAACAGUUUGUACCAGCUGUGAAGUGCAGGAUAUUGAGAACAUUUGUUCCAGCUCUGCCUCUGGUCUGGGAUUUCACUCAGCCCAGCUGGGUUAGAAGAGGAGGGGACCUCAGCAGUGCUUGUGUGGGGUCAAAUCUUCCUGCAACUACAGAGAGAAUUCCCACCAAAAACGGGUGCCUCCAUCAGCCCCUCUGUUUGGUUCUUGGGAACCUGCCUGUGUUCCUUUCCCUGCAGCACAGAGCGCAGCAUCUUCAGCAUUAUCUGGGGGAACUGCAGCUACUGAAGAAGCAGCGUGCAGUUCUUGCUCAGCUGUGGGGAGCUGGUACAGCCCAGCACUGCCAGCAGUGUGUGGAGCUGCAAGAUCUGUUCCUCCUGGCUUAUCCAGAUCCCUCCACACCAGAGGAAGGACUUGGAGUCUCUGCAUCCUCACUAAACUCAGCUCUCCAUACAGGAGCAGACUUCAAUCCAGAAAUUCAAGCAGGGGUCUCUUUGUUCCCUAUACCUUCAUUUCCUUAUGCUGACUAGGUAGAGCAGCUGUGAAAAUAUUCAGUAUAUUUUUGGCUGUGACAAAUAGCUGCGUUUCACACCUUGUCACAAGCUCACACCUCUUUUCUAUUAGAACUAAAGGGUGUGCAAAAGCAGUAAUGACAUUUAGUAAAUACAAAUGAUUUUAAGGCUCACCAACCUUCCAGAUUUCUGAGCUGAGCUUCUAGCGGCACACAGAAGCCAUGAGGAGCAGAAACCAAAACCAGCUCUGCUGAGAUGUCAGCCUUUCUUUGCAAGAAGGAGAAAAAGAUCAAACUCCACCAUUCAGUGCUGUGGAUGGUCAGACGCUCCGCUUUCUGCUUCCUGCAAUUCUCUUUGGUGCUAAAAAUCCAUUCUGACAUUUUCCAUUAAAGGUUUCUCAGAACUCUCAGUCCAGAAUGAAAUUGGCCUUGUAUCCUUCAGCUGGAUUCCAGCCUAAUCAUUUCAAUUAAAUACUGUGUUCCUUCAGUUCCUUAUGUAGGGAAAUGAGUUGCUCGGGGUACACGGUCCCCUGGUUGACAUUUCUUAUAUUCAAGGAGAAGCAAAUCAAAAGCAGCCCAGGAAUUCCCUAUCAUAGCUUUUAAUUAGCUAACUAAAGUUAACUAGAAAAAAUAACCUAGAAUGCAUACUGAGGCCUUGAAAAGUGCUAAGAGCUUUGUUUCAACACACUAUAAAGCUUUCAUCAUUAGGUACCAAAAGCCACUAAUUCAUGAAGAUCCAUGCCUGACAAAACUGUUAAACAAGGGGUGAUUUACUGAGAAGAGAGCUCAGCAAACCACUUCAACUUUAAAAUACUGUCCUUUCGUCCGCUGUUCAACUGUGCAAUCUUUAUAUUUAAAGGGAAAUCCAUAUCAUUGAUUAAACACAAUAAAAGCUAUUCCAUAGGACACCAUUACUAAAUCUAGCUGCUGGAAAAAUACUUUUUUGUAAAUCAAAGUGAUAAGAAUCAGUCUGAGUUUCUCAUAACGAGGCACAGCUACAACACACAGUAUAAGAAGCAGAGAAUUGCACGUUCUACCGAGGAAACAUACGACACUGCUUUGAAAAAGCCUCUCACAUCCCUGCUUGUUUCUCAUGCACGCAUCUCUCUAUAGCCAGCAGUUUGCUGGGGGCUUGUAUUUAAGUGCAACAUUUGAACAGCUCUUGCUCCUAUCCAGGAGAUGCAUACAGCAGUACUUACACGAGGGUCACAGCCACAGGCACAACCAAACUGCCAGCACAGUGCAGUUCUCGCAGGCACAGCCCUCGGGCUCUGUCCACCUUGUCCCACAGCACUUACACCCAGUACAUCUUAUCCUGGAAGGAAAUUGAGCAGUGCUGCUGCUGCUGAUGGAACUAAAGGGCUGUUUUUCAAUGUUAGCAGCACCGUUCCACCCAAGCACUGAAUUUCUCUUGUAAUGGUUUUAUCAGUCUCGCUCUCUCCGACUCACAGUUCUAAAUAGACAAGGGAUCUUUCUUUGAGUCUUUACUUUCACAGUACUGAAAAGAUUAUGGUAGUCGAGAAUUUAGCUGUUGGACCAUUUUGCUUUUCACAGUUCAGAAGACAUAAAUAAUGGCUACACCUCUCAAGUUAAUUUAAGUAAGCAAGAUUUGGUAUGCCACCAGUUUAAAUCUCACCCUAAAACUAAAUCAGUCUUCAUUCAGCUUUAAAAUGUGCUAAAUUGUUCAGACGUUCUAAAACUCUUCUUCCUUAAGGCUUCCGAGUGGAAUUCUACAUUUAUUUAAUAAAGCAGCCAGGAUUUACUGUACUGGUGGUGGUAAGCACUUUUUACUUUCCUCAAGAUGGAUUGGAGUUGACUGCAUACUUUUUUUUGCUACAGCUGCACAAGUUUACAAGUCACAAUUGAAUUACCAAACUGAGGAAAAUAAAGAUUAUUCCUGUGGGUGCAA